UACGUAGGGGGCAAGCGUUGUUCGGAAUUACUGGGCGUAAAGGGCGCGUAGGCGGCAGGCCAAGUCGGGAGUGAAAGCCCGGGGCUCAACCCCGGAACGGCUCUCGAAACUGGCGAGCUAGAGUGCGGAAGAGGCAACUGGAAUUCCCAGUGUAGCGGUGAAAUGCGUAGAUAUUGGGAAGAACACCUGAGGCGAAGGCGGGUUGCUGGGCCGACACUGACGCUGAGGCGCGAAAGCCAGGGGAGCGAACGGG
rnacentral:rRNA from 1 species